rnacentral:misc_RNA from 1 species
GGCCAGUAUUUGAGAUACCACUACUUGAUUGUUCUUGGAAGCAACCUUCUCAUUUCCAUUUUUUUUUCUGCUUGUGGCAUGCCAUUCAGUAAUGUAUGUGAUCUCUGAUGUCCGUCAAACAAUUUAAACUACUUUUAAGUUUUACAUAACCGCAAAAGUAUCACAAAAAUGCAAAAUGGAGACUUAAUUAGACUUACCAGCUGGCUUCAAACAAGAUAAGGCAGUACAUCCUGUUUUAAGCUUUGAAAUCUAUCCUUCUCAUCUAAAACUUCUUGCAGAACAGGCCCAAAAAACAUCAACAGGAAAAAUGAGGAUUAUGGACGCCUGAUAAAAAGAAACUCUGAAGCCAAGACAGCUGAAAAAGGCAAACCUCUUGAAUGCAUACAUAUAAGCAUCCAUAAGAUCAGAUGGUAUUCCAUCUAAUGAAAAAUAUUUAAAAAGAAGAUUAGAGUAAGAAGCAAGCAAAUUUUCUAAAUACAUUCCCAU